UACGUAGGGUGCAAGCGUUGUCCGGAAUUAUUGGGCGUAAAGAGCUCGUAGGCGGUUUGUCGCGUCUGCUGUGAAAGCCCGGGGCUUAACUCCGGGUCUGCAUUCGAUACGGGCAGGCUAGAGUUCGGUAGGGGAGAUCGGAAUUCCUGGUGUAGCGGUGAAAUGCGCAGAUAUCAGGAGGAACACCGGUGGCGAAGGCGGAUCUCUGGGCCGAUACUGACGCUGAGGAGCGAAAGCGUGGGGAGCGAACAGG
rnacentral:rRNA from 1 species